UGGCGGACGGGUGAGUAAUGUCUGGGAAACUGCCUGAUGGAGGGGGAUAACUACUGGAAACGGUAGCUAAUACCGCAUAACGUCGCAAGACCAAAGAGGGGGACCUUCGGGCCUCUUGCCAUCGGAUGUGCCCAGAUGGGAUUAGCUAGUAGGUGGGGUAACGGCACACCUAGGCGACGAUCCCUAGCUGGUCUGAGAGGAUGACCAGCCACACUGGAACUGAGACACGGUCCAG
rnacentral:rRNA from 1 species